UACGGGGGGAGCAAGCGUUGUUCGGAUUUACUGGGCGUAAAGGGCGCGUAGGCGGCCAACUAAGUCAGACGUGAAAUCCCUCAGCUUAACUGGGGAACUGCGUCUGAUACUGGAUGGCUUGGAUUCGGGAGAGGAAUGCGGAAUUCCAGGUGUAGCGGUGAAAUGCGUAGAUAUCUGGAGGAACACCGGUGGCGAAGGCGGCAUUCUGGACCGACAUUGACGCUGAGGAGCGAAAGCCAGGGGAGCAAACGGG
rnacentral:rRNA from 1 species